rnacentral:tRNA from 1 species
AUUCAAAUAGCUUAUAUAGAGCAUAGUAUUGAAGAUACUAAGGAAAUUUAAUAUUUUUGAGUA